GAUCAAAUGUCUCUGACUAGGCAAGAAGAAAAAUGUUGAAUAAGGGAAAAAAGAAAGAGUACAAUUAUGACGGUGUUGAAAAGAAUUUUGUAUUAGGUGGUAGGCUAUGUAGCUGAAAUUCUGGCUUGUAUAGUUGUAGCAAUCCGAUAUUCCACUUCGCAAAGUACAUUUUUUGAAAUUUGUAGUUUUAGCAACGUCAAGAAAUCCCUAAUGUUUUACUAUAU
ensembl:ncRNA F53F8.8 ncRNA